rnacentral:rRNA from 1 species
AUGAGGGCCUUAUUCUGGAAUAUUAGAGGGUUCGGUGCUAGGGGGCGCCGUGACCAACUGAAAGAUUUGGUUCGUUCUAACUCUAUUGACUUUGUGGGGCUGGUUGAAACGUUUAAGGAUUCCUUUACCCCCAGUGAGCUUUCUGCUAUCGUGGGUAUGGAUAGAUUUCAGUGGCAAUCUUUACCGGCUUCGGGCCACUCUGGUGGGAUUCUGAUCGGUUCUAAUAAGGAUAUUUUUGACUUUGUUGCUUUUGAUCAUGGGUUUUAUUGGGCUAGUGUUGUUCUCUCGCAUAGAUCUAUGAAUGCCCUCUGUGAAUUUAUAGUUGUUUAUGGGCCCGCGGAUCACUCCUUUUCACACCUUUUCCUUGAUGAACUUUCGAUCAAACUUGAGUCCUGUUCUCUCCCGACGGUGAUUGGGGGAGACUUUAAUCUUCUGCGAUGCCCUCUUGACAAGAAUAAUGAUAAUUUUUCCUCGUCUUUAGCCAAUGCUUUUAACGACUUUAUUAGUGUCAACGCCAUUCGGGAGCUUCCUCGGGGGGGGGGGAGCCCGCUUUACUUGGUCUAA